rnacentral:lncRNA from 1 species
GUAAUAUCUAGAGCAUAAAUAUGUUUAUGCUUUUAUUUUGUUAAAGAAAUUUAUAUAUAUAUAUAUAUAUAUAUAUAUAUAUAUAUAUAUAUAUAUAUGUAUUUCUUUUUUGAGAUAGAGUCUCACUCUGUCGCCAGGCUGGAGUGCAGUGGCACAAUCUCAGCUCACUGCAACCUCCACCUCCCAGGUUCAAGUGAUUAUUCUGCCUCAGCCUCCCGAAUAGCUGGGAUUACAGGGACAUGGAUGAAUCUGGAAAACAUCAUCCUCAGCAAACUGACACAAGAACAGAAAAUGAAACACCGCAUAUUCUCACUCAUAGGUGGGUGAUGAAAAAUGAGAACACAUGGACACAGAAAGGGGAGUACUAAACACUGGGGUCUAUUGGGGGGAAAAGGGGAGGGCCAGUGGGAGGGGGAGGUGGGGAGGGAUAGCCUGGGGAGAAAUGCCAAAUGUGGGUGAAGGGGAGAAGAAAAGCAAAGCACACUGCCAUGUGUAUACCUACGCAACUGUCUUGCAUGCUCUGCACAUGUACCCCAAAACCUAUAAUCCAAUAAAAAAUUAAAUAAAAAUAAAUAAAUUUAAAAAAAAAGUAUUUUUAUUUUAAUAUAUCAUCAACAAAACAUUAUUGAGAUCUUUUAUAUUUUUAAGUUUCCUACCAAGUUUUCA